rnacentral:rRNA from 1 species
CCGGCUACUCCGUGCCAGCAGCCGCGUAAUACGUAGGGUGCAAGCGUUAUCGGAAUUAUUGGCGUAAAGCGCACGCAGGCGGUCUGUCAGUCGGAUGUGAAAUCCCCGGGCUCAACUGGAAACUGCAUUCGAAACUGCAGGCUAGAGUCUGUAGAGGGGGGUAGAAUUCCAGGUGUAGCGGUGAAAUGGUAGAGAUCUGGAGGAAUACCGGUGGGGAAGGCGGCCCCCUGGACAAAGACUGACGCUCAGGUGCGAAAGCGUGGGGGAGCAAACAGGAUUAGAUACCCUGGUAGUACACGCCGUAAACGAUGUCGAUUGGGAGGUUGUGCCCUUGAGGGCGUGGCUUCCGGAGCAAACGCGUUAAAUCGACCCGCCUGGGGAGUACGGCCCGCAAGGUUAAAACUCAAAUGAAUUGACGGGGGCCCGCACAAGCGGUGGAGCAUGUGGUUUAAUUCGAUGCAACGCGAAGAACCUUACCUGGUCUUGACAUCCACAGAACUUUCCAGAGAUGGAUUGGUGCCUUCGGGAACUGUGAGACAGGUGCUGCAUGGCUGUCGUCAGCUCGUGUUGUGAAAUGUUGGGUUAAGUCCCGCAACGAGCGCAACCCUUAUCCUUUGUUGCCAGCGGUUAGGCCGGGAACUCAAAGGAGACUGCCAGUGAUAAACUGGAGGAAGGUGGGGAUGACGUCAAGUCAUCAUGGCCCUUACGACCAGGGCUACACACGUGCUACAAUGGCAUAUACAAAGAGAAGCGACCUCGCGAGAGCAAGCGGACCUCAUAAAGUAUGUCGUAGUCCGGAUUGGAGUCUGCAACUCGACUCCAUGAAGUCGGAAUCGCUAGUAAUCGUAGAUCAGAAUGCUACGGUGAAUACGUUCCCGGGCCUUGUACACACCUCCCAUCACACCAUGGGAGUGG